CAGUUCUUGACAAAAUGCAAAAUGUCUGAUACUGAUAGCCAUAUUUCAGUACCUUCUACCCCUCCUGAACUCAAAAGCGUUGUAAAUUCGGCACUCUCCGUUUUAAUAGAAAUCUAAACGGCAGUAGGAAAAAUGUUACGGCGAGUUUAAAGAUUGGUGUGACAAAUAGAAUGUUAAGACGAUGUCAGAAAACAUUUUAUUGGCUUAUUUGAUGCAGAACUCAAAUGUUGUGAAAAGUUCAACUUUAUGGAGCAAAUACUUAUUGUUAAAGGUAAUUUUGAUAAUGGGAAUAUCUGGUGCCUUGCGACGAGAUGAGUUAGAAAAAAAUGGUCAUUAUAGAUAUUCAGGAAGAGAAUAUUGUAUUAAUAGUAACCGUUCCUGAUACCAAGACGGAUAAGAAGCGUGUUUUCACUGAUAUAUUGAUUUCAUAAAAAUUUAUCGUAAAUAUGUGGCUAUUCGACCAAAACGUAUUGUUAAUAAUCGUCGUACAUUCUCGAGAUACGUAAACGGAAAGUGCACCGCAUAAGUUGUUGGAGUGCAUACCAUUGGGAAAAUGCCUAAUAUGAUUGCCAAGUAUUUCAGAUUACCAAAUCCUGAAACAUACAUGGGUCAUUGUUUACGGAGAAGUUCUGCCACGCUGCUUGCCAAUACUGCGGCCGAUAUGUCAAUUCUUAAACAUCACUGCGGAUGGUCCACAACAGUAACGGAAGGAUAUAUAGAAGACUAUUGACAGUUAGAAGCAAACGUCUGCCUCAAUUUCUGGUGAUAUAGUAUCUGGUUUGAAUGUAGGCAAUAACUAUUAUUCAGAAAUAAAUAUAAGUAAUAAUACAAACUGUACAA